GCAAAAGAGGCUAUUGUGUUUCCAGCCAUUUGCAUCUGUUGAAGGAGGUCAUUGAAUGGACGUGACCGCAGGUUGACCCUCAACUCCAGAGCUGGUUUGGGGCAAUCGGAGGCUCCUCCCCCGGCCCAUCUGCGGAGUCCUCCUUCUGCAGAUUCUGCCCCCCAGUUCCAAAGCCGGAGCCAUUUUCAGGGAUACAGACGUGAGAGAGCAAAGCGCUGCUGAGACAACCUGGACGCGUGAGACGCUUGACUUAAGCCAGGAUUAAUGCUUAGAAUGUCAGCAAAUUCAACCCAUCACCCCUCUGAAUACAUUCAUCUUCCUACCAGGGUAGCAAGAGUGGAGAGAUUUCUUGAUGCAAAAUGCCUGAAGUCCUGCUAUUGCAUUAGCCUUUAUGGUUGGGAAUUGGACGAUUCACCAGAAGCACCGAGGGAUCAAAGCAGAAGGUGAAUGCCCCGAGUCUGAGAGAGCGUCGGACGCAUGAGGAGAA